GUUACGUAGAGGCAUGAAGUUUUGUUUUUACCAUUGUAAGUUCAAAUACGCGUGGGAGCGUGUAUACGGAGGCCGGGCAGCCCAAGCUGCUGGCUAUUACGUCUCGGCUCCAAGCCACCCUCCAGACUCUGCUCUGUGCAUCUUUAACAGCUUAGUCCCGGACAGCUUCCUGGUGGGUAGACCAUCUGUCUCACCUUCUGUUCCUCACCACUCUCCUGGUCGUGAGGAGGAAGGCCCAACACGCCCUCAGGCAGUUUCAGCAGCGGGAGAAACUAGGACUUUCUAAGAAGCCCAGGUAGGAAAGGUGCAGUGAAACUCCUCUCCUGAGAAGAGUUUGAGAAUCAUCAGUAGUGACAGGAAACCAAAGAGAUUCGGCUGUUUGUUUCUUGUCUUUAUUGACAAAAAAAGGUCACAGCAUUUCAGACUUUAUUCAAAUACACAAACAGUAACAAACAAUACCCACAAGUGACAGGCAUGGUCCCUAACCUCUGCGCCAAAGGCCAUGUCGGAGGAUGUGGUUGAGCUCUUGGCCACCCCCCAGCAUCUCUGUCCCUUCCUCCCCUACACCUCGCUGACACCCCUGAGAUCAGUUAAGACUGCAGAAACGAAGUCGCUCUAGAGGAGGUUGGGCUGCGCCUCAUUGCCAAGGAGGAAGCAGGUUCUGAAGGAAAGACAGAAGCGUGCUAGUGUGGCAUCUCCUAGGAGAGGCCAGGCUGCUUUGUGAGCUGGGCCUGAGUCGCCCGCGGCCUCGGGCCUGGGCACAACACGAA